ensembl:lncRNA
UUGGGAUUUUUCCUGUACACAAUCAAUAGGACCCUUCAAGAACCUACUCCUUCAUGGCUAGUUCCUUGCUCAGUGAAAGACCUGCCUGAGGAGCUGGGUAGAUUUGAGAAAGUAACCACAUGCUUGACUUAAGGCUACCCCAGCUAUACAGAGACCCUGCAUUUUAUUCUCUAGAGAAGACUUGUAUCUUUCAGAGAAGCAGACUGGGAAGCAAACCAGGCAUUGUCAAUGCAGCAUCACCUUGCAGCUGGGAAGAAAUUUGAUGAGCUGAUUCCCAGUGACACAUCUUUUAAAAUACAGUUCUCCCAGCCUACAACAGAGAAAAUCAUUAAUUGCAUACAUUUUAUGUGAAUCAGAGCCUGCUUCAAGAUAUUUCAUAAACACUGUAAAGAAGCAAUGGGAAAUUGUUUCUAAUGUCCCAACCUUGCCUUGCUCUGUACUGUGACAAACUGACCUGAAGACCUAUUAUGUUCUCCAAAAAAAAAAAGGACAUCAAUUGCAGAGUUACUUGGUAUGUCACUCUUUCAUGAUGGUUAAAUUACAUAAAAAUCAAAUGCUCUUUGUCCUUGAGACACGACAGCUCCUUCAGCUUAAGGUAUCUUUAUGGCUGCUCUGAAGUAUACCUGAAGAUAUAUUUGAUCUGAAUUACUUUAGAGUCAUGGGUCACAAAGAGCACUUCAAUGCCUUCUUCACUUAGCUGCAUCAGCUGAUUAGUCACAGCCAAGACUUCUAUGAGAAGACCUGAUACUUCAUCUAAACAUCAGGAGGAUACUUUUAUAAGGGGUCUAAUAUGAAUGACAGGCCCAAACUAUAAUCAAAUGCAGAAAAAACCUUCACAAUUUUCAAAGAUAUUUGAAUCGAAGUAUUACUUUCUCAGUGUUUGUAUCUAAAAAAGCUUCACUCAUAAGGUUACAAAAAACUUAUUACAAAAUCCUAUAACAUAUUUUCCUUCUGAAAUUCAGACUUCAUGUCCUAGGAUUUACCUUAGAAAAUGAUAUUUCUUUGUCU